GGGCUUGUAGCUCAAUUGGCAGAGCAUGGCACUCAUAAUGCCCAGGUUAGUGGUUCGAGUCCACUCAGGCCCA
rnacentral:tRNA from 1 species